UACGUAGGGUGCAAGCGUUAAUCGGAAUUACUGGGCGUAAAGCGUGCGCAGGCGGUUAUGUAAGACAGGUGUGAAAUCCCCGGGCUUAACCUGGGAACUGCAUUUGUGACUGCAUAGCUAGAGUACGGUAGAGGGGGAUGGAAUUCCGCGUGUAGCAGUGAAAUGCGUAGAUAUGCGGAGGAACACCGGUGGCGAAGGCGGCAUCCUGGACCGACACUGACGCUGAGGAGCGAAAGCCAGGGGAGCAAACGGG
rnacentral:rRNA from 1 species